CCCUUAGAUGUUCUGGGCUGCACGCGUGCUACACUGAUUAUUUCAACAAGUGUUUUAACUGGAGAGUUCGCGUAAUCCUGAAAUGUUAUCGUGAUGGGAGUAGAGUAUUGUAUUUGUUAAUCUUUAACGAGGAAUUCCUAGUAAGUGUAGGUUUAUAAGUUGUUCUGACUACGUCCCUGCCCUUUGUACACACCGCCCGUCGCUCCUACCGAUUGAUUGAUCCGGUGAAUUACAUAGAAUUUUGCGUUUUACAUGACGGAAGACGAAGUGUUUUAAACCUUAUCAUUUAGAGGAAGGAGAAGUCGUAACA
rnacentral:rRNA from 1 species